UCCCAGAUAGCAAAAAAUAUCUGCAAGGCUUCUUUUUGCCGCCGGCCCUUAGCUGUCGGCUAUAGGUGCGUCCUGCUGGCGGGGAUGAAACGUUUGCCGCCGAAUACGUCACUCCCAUUUCUUGCGAGAUUUUUUGACUGCUUCAUUUUCUCUGGCGGUUGCCUGGGUCUAAAGGACCGCGGUCCUUCGGCGGCAAGACGCUUUUAAAUAGGCUACACUCAAAAUCGACCGGCCAUGUUGGUUUGGACAUAUUCGCAUCAGUUCGUCGCUCAAUCGCGAGUUACAGUCUGCUAGCUAGCGAAGUCAUCGACUACCAUCGUUUAAAUACCUUGGCCAGAGCAUAACCGAUUAUCUUCACCCAAGAGACCUACUGUUGGUCAAUCGUUUUGGUUUUAAAGGUAAAUACAUUGUUAGUCACAAUGUUUAGUUACUGGGCCAAAAGGAAAAUAAUAAUGAAAAGAGUUGAGGGACAAACAGGACAGUCACUUGAAUCACUACAUUCUACAGAAGUUGCAUUGAUUCCAGAAAACCAGGAAAAUGUUGAGCCAUCUGUAGACUUCAGAGUUGAAACAGGUUUCUCCCCAGUAAUCCAGACUCCACUUCAGAGCCAAGAGUUUGAGUACAAGGCACUUGACUUUCUGGAUAAAAGGUGUGGAGUUCAUCAAGUACUAAACUUUACACCCCCAGCAGAAAAUGUACCCUGGCAGCAAAUGGGUGAAAAGGCUGGAGGAGAAAGUCAUCGCUCCGUUAUUGGCACUUGGACUCCCCUGGCAUCGCAUGUACAGCAUGAAGUUUUCAGCAAUGAAGGUAUAUUCUAGGCCUAUGUCCUAAUGUCCAGUUUUUUUAACAGUUUUGAAAAUAGUGCCUUUAGUUUUCCAGAACGAGAACCAAGCCCUGAGGGAGGAGAACCAAGCCCUGAGGGAGGAGAACCAAGCCCUGAGGGAGGAGAACCAAGCCCUGAGGGAGGAGAACCAAGCCCUGAGGGAGGAGAACCAAGCCCUGAGGGAGGAGAACCAAGCCCUGAGGGAGGAGAACCAAGCCCUGAGGGAGGGGAGCCAUGCCCUGAGGGAGGGGAGCCAUGCACGAGCAGCUUCGGGUGACAGCGGCUCGCUUCAAGAGCAGGUGAAGCUAUUUGGGACAAUGCUGAAGACGUUUGCUCGCACUGGGCAAUCAGGUACAACUUGCAAACAACACCUGUGGUUGUUGGUUUAAUUCCCACUGGGUCCACAUGUGCAGAUCAGACCCUAGUGCUGCGACGUCUUGGAGAGUUUGGCGAUGUUGUGCGUAGCAUGGAAAACAAAAUGGACACUAUGCUGCAACAUUUCAGUGCCAAUGUGUCUGUUGGAGAGCUAUCCCUGCCAGGGGAUGUUACUCCCCCUAGACACCCAGGAAGAUUUGGUGUUUCUUGACAGCAUUUUGAGGGAGGAUAAAGAGCUCCAGGAACGAUUUGGACAAAUGUACUUCUAUAUGUGUUUAAACAACAACACCAUCAGCGAAAUAACUUCGACACCUGGAAAUAUGAUUCCUAACCUGCUACCUUCUAACCUGGUGACGGGCUCAGUCAGUGGUCAGACCAUCCAGUGCAUCUUCUCUGCUACAGUCCCCAAUGCUACUUCCACCAAGAGCAGCAGUACCUCCUUUUUCAUUUCCAUCUACGCUGGGACCCUGACUAAUGGUGAAGCACUUGUCUUAACACAAUCCAAAGAACAGAUCUAAGAGCAGCUUCCCCUCGUCCAAUCCUAACCAUAUUCAUAAGUUAUGGAAAUGCUACAUUUUCCCCAGAUCAGAACCUAGGAGCUGCUUCAUGCCUUCAAACCCUCUGUGGAUGAUGCAUCCCUUCUGUGUGGUCUUUCUUGAACCCACUAUUUUUCUCCUCCUUCAGGAGUCCCAGGUAUUCCUGAGCCUGUCUUUAUAAGACACUUUAUGUUGUGUUGAGAAGUAAAUAUGAGGUAUACACCCAAGGCAUCCACCACAAGUUAUUUAUUUGAGCACAGUCACCUUUUACUUCAUCUUAGCUGUUGUCAAGUUAUGAAGACAAUUUUGUUCGAGUGUGAGUGUAAAUAUUUGCUACAUAUUUGCAUCUAAUUAAGCCACAAGUAAGCAGAAGCUGAUACUUGUGUGUUUGUGUGUCUGAUAAAAUAUGACAAAUUGUUCUUCAUGAUUUCCCUUCAUUAUUGAAGUUUGGAAUGUUUUUAACAU
ensembl:lncRNA